GAGUGAAAUAGAACCUGAAACCGUGUGCUUACAAGUAGUCAGAGCCCGUUAAUGGGUGAUGGCGUGCCUUUUGUAGAAUGAACCGGCGAGUUACGAUUUGAUGCAAGGUUAAGCAGUAAAUGUGGAGCCGUAGCGAAAGCGAGUCUGAAUAGGGCGUUUAGUAUUUGGUCGUAGACCCGAAACCAGGUGAUCUACCCUUGGUCAGGUUGAAGUUCAGGUAACACUGAAUGGAGGACCGAACCGACUUACGUUGAAAAGUGAGCGGAUGAACUGAGGGUAGCGGAGAAAUUCCAAUCGAACCUGGAGAUAGCUGGUUCUCUCCGAAAUAGCUUUAGGGCUAGCCUCAAGUGAUGAUUAUGGGAGGUAGAGCACUGUUUGGACGAGCGGCCCCUCUCGGGUUACCGAAUUCAGACAAACUCCGAAUGCCAAUUAAUUUAACUUGGGAGUCAGAACAUGGGUGAUAAGGUCCGUGUUCGAAAGGGAAACAGCCCAGACCACCAGCUAAGGUCCCAAAAUAUAUGUUAAGUGGAAAAGGAUGUGGCGUUGCCCAGACAACUAGGAUGUUGGCUUAGAAGCAGCCAUCAUUUAAAGAGUGCGUAAUAGCUCACUAGUCGAGUGACACUGCGCCGAAAAUGUACCGGGGCUAAACAUAUUACCGAAGCUGUGGAUUGUCCUUUGGACAAUGGUAGGAGAGCGUUCUAAGGGCGUUGAAGCAUGAUCGUAAGGACAUGUGGAGCGCUUAGAAGUGAGAAUGCCGGUGUGAGUAGCGAAAGACGGGUGAGAAUCCCGUCCACCGAUUGACUAAGGUUUCCAGAGGAAGGCUCGUCCGCUCUGGGUUAGUCGGGUCCUAAGCUGAGGCCGACAGGCGUAGGCGAUGGAUAACAGGUUGAUAUUCCUGUACCACCUAUAAUCGUUUUAAUCGAUGGGGGGACGCAGUAGGAUAGGCGAAGCGUGCGAUUGGAUUGCACGUCUAAGCAGUAAGGCUGAGUAUUAGGCAAAUCCGGUACUCGUUAAGGCUGAGCUGUGAUGGGGAGAAGACAUUGAGUCUUCGAGUCGUUGAUUUCACACUGCCGAGAAAAGCCUCUAGAUAGAAAAUAGGUGCCCGUACCGCAAACCGACACAGGUAGUCAAGAUGAGAAUUCUAAGGUGAGCGAGCGAACUCUCGUUAAGGAACUCGGCAAAAUGACCCCGUAACUUCGGGAGAAGGGGUGCUCUUUAGGGUUAACGCCCAGAAGAGCCGCAGUGAAUAGGCCCAAGCGACUGUUUAUCAAAAACACAGGUCUCUGCUAAACCGUAAGGUGAUGUAUAGGGGCUGACGCCUGCCCGGUGCUGGAAGGUUAAGAGGAGUGGUUAGCUUCUGCGAAGCUACGAAUCGAAGCCCCAGUAAACGGCGGCCGUAACUAUAACGGUCCUAAGGUAGCGAAAUUCCUUGUCGGGUAAGUUCCGACCCGCACGAAAGGCGUAACGAUUUGGGCACUGUCUCAACGAGAGACUCGGUGAAAUCAUAGUACCUGUGAAGAUGCAGGUUACCCGCGACAGGACGGAAAGACCCCGUGGAGCUUUACUGUAGCCUGAUAUUGAAAUUCGGCACAGCUUGUACAGGAUAGGUAGGAGCCUUUGAAACGUGAGCGCUAGCUUACGUGGAGGCGCUGGUGGGAUACUACCCUAGCUGUGUUGGCUUUCUAACCCGCACCACUUAUCGUGGUGGGAGACAGUGUCAGGCGGGCAGUUUGACUGGGGCGGUCGCCUCCUAAAAGGUAACGGAGGCGCUCCAAGGUUCCCUCAGAAUGGUUGGAAAUCAUUCAUAGAGUGUAAAGGCAUAAGGGAGCUUGACUGCGAGACCUACAAGUCGAGCAGGGUCGAAAGACGGACUUAGUGAUCCGGUGGUUCCGCAUGGAAGGGCCAUCGCUCAACGGAUAAAAGCUACCCCGGGGAUAACAGGCUUAUCUCCCCCAAGAGUUCACAUCGACGGGGAGGUUUGGCACCUCGAUGUCGGCUCAUCGCAUCCUGGGGCUGUAGUCGGUCCCAAGGGUUGGGCUGUUCGCCCAUUAAAGCGGUACGCGAGCUGGGUUCAGAACGUCGUGAGACAGUUCGGUCCCUAUCCGUCGUGGGCGUAGGAAAUUUGAGAGGAGCUGUCCUUAGUACGAGAGGACCGGGAUGGACAUACCUCUGGUGUACCAGUUGUCGUGCCAACGGCAUAGCUGGGUAGCUAUGUGUGGACGGGAUAAGUGCUGAAAGCAUCUAAGCAUGAAGCCCCC
rnacentral:rRNA from 1 species